rnacentral:rRNA from 1 species
UUGCUUCUCUGGAUGAGUUGCGAACGGGUGAGUAACGCGUAGGUAACCUGCCUGGUAGCGGGGGAUAACUAUUGGAAACGAUAGCUAAUACCGCAUAAGAGUAGAUGUUGCAUGACAUUUGCUUAAAAGGUGCAAAUGCAUCACUACCAGAUGGACCUGCGUUGUAUUAGCUAGUUGGUAAGGUAACGGCUUACCAAGGCAACGAUGCAUAGCCGACCUGAGAGGGUGAUCGGCCACACUGGAACUGAGACACGGUCCAGACUCCUACGGGAGGCAGCAGUAGGGAAUCUUCCGCAAUGGGCGAAAGCCUGACGGAGCAACGCCGCGUGAGUGAUGAAGGUCUUCGGAUCGUAAAACUCUGUUAUUAGGGAAGAACAUAUGUGUAAGUAACUGUGCACAUCUUGACGGUACCUAAUCAGAAAGCCACGGCUAACUACGUGCCAGCAGCCGCGGUAAUACGUAGGUGGCAAGCGUUAUCCGGAAUUAUUGGGCGUAAAGCGCGCGUAGGCGGUUUUUAAGUCUGAUGUGAAAGCCCACGGCUCAACUGUGGAGGGUCAUUGGAAACUGGAAAACUUGAGUGCAGAAGAGGAGAGUGGAAUUCCAUGUGUAGCGGUGAAAUGCGCAGAGAUAUGGAGGAACACCAGUGGCGAAGGCGACUUUCUGGUCUGUAACUGACGCUGAUGUGCGAAAGCGUGGGGAUCAAACAGGAUUAG